AUUGAACGCUGGCGGCAGGCCUAACACAUGCAAGUCGAACGAGUGGCGGACGGGUGAGCAAUUGCUGGGCAACUGCCUGAUGUAGGGGUCUAACUACUGUAAACGGUAGCUAAUACCGCAUACCAUCAGAUGGGCCCAGAUGGGUUUAGCUUGUUGGUGGGGUAACGGCUCACCAAGGCGACGAUCCCUAGCUGGGCUGAGAGGGUGACCAGCCACACUGGAACUGAGACACGGGCCAGACUCCUACGGGAGGCAGCAGUGGGGAAUAUGGGACAAUGGGCGAAAGCCUGAUGCAGCCAGGCCGCGUGUAUGAAGAAGGCUUUCGGGUUGUAAAGUUCUGUCAGCGGGGAGGCGUUACCCGCAGAAGAAGCACCGGCUAACUACGUGCCAGCAGCCGCGGUAAUAC
rnacentral:rRNA from 1 species